UGUAUUGUCUUGGGCAGCGUAAUGAAGUAGAUUGCGGUUUUUACAUGUUGAGGUUUAUGAAAGAAAUUCUUCUUAUGGAUCGAAUAGAGAUUCCAUCCAAGUACUUUGAUGAAUUCAAGUGUGCUUAUUACUCAAGUUCUCAGUUGGAUGAACUUAAGGAGGAUUGGUGUAAAUUCAUGAUUGAGUUGAAAGUUAUAUAAGGUUAUAUGUGCAGAUGUAGAAGAUAGAGAUGAAUAGAUUUUGUAAUGGUAUAAUGGUGUAAACAAAAUGUGGCAUAUCUUUUGGUGUUGUUUUUUUUUUGUAAAAGUAUAUGUACAAGAGUAAUAGUAUAUAUAAGUACAU